rnacentral:rRNA from 1 species
AUUGAACGCUGGCGGCAGGCCUAACACAUGCAAGUCGAACGAGUGGCGGACGGGUGAGUAAUGUCUGGGAAACUGCCUGAUGGAGGGGGAUAACUACUGGAAACGGUAGCUAAUACCGCAUCCCAUCGGAUGUGCCCAGAUGGGAUUAGCUAGUAGGUGGGGUAAAGGCUCACCUAGGCGACGAUCCCUAGCUGGUCUGAGAGGAUGACCAGCCACACUGGAACUGAGACACGGUCCAGACUCCUACGGGAGGCAGCAGGGGGGAAUAGUGCACAAUGGGCGGAAGCGUGAUGCAGCCAGGCAGCGUGUAUGAAGAAGGCCGUCGGGUUGUAAAGUACUUGCAGCGGGGAGGCGUUACCCGCAGAAGAAGCAGCGGCUAACUCCGUGCCAGCAGCCGCGGUAAUAC